rnacentral:rRNA from 1 species
GUGGGGAAUUUUGCGCAAUGGGCGAAAGCCUGACGCAGCAACGCCGCGUGUGUGAUGAAGGCCUUCGGGUUGUAAAGCACUGUCCAGAGGGAAGAAUAACCGGGGGUAACCCCUCGGCCUGACGGUACCUCUGAAGAAAGCACUGGCUAACUCCGUGCCAGCAGCCGCGGUAAUACGGAGAGUGCAAGCGUUGUUCGGAAUUAUUGGGCGUAAAGGGCGUCUAGGUGGCCCGGCAAGUCAGAUGUGAAAUCCCUCGGCCUAACCGAGGACGUGCAUUUGAAACUGCCAGGCUUGAGUGUUGGAGGGGGCAGCGGAAUUCCCGGUGUAGAGGUGAAAUUCGUAGAUAUCGGGAGGAACACCAGUGGCGAAGGCGGCUGCCUGGCCAAACACUGACACUAAAGCGCGAAAGCGUGGGGAGCAAACAGG